GUGGUGCCUUGCAUUCCUCCCUGGCAUUCCCAGUGGGAGGUGGGGUUAGUGACAGAAGGGAAUGGGCAGGGGGCUUCUUGCUGCAAUGGAAGAGAAUGGCAGAGCUUUUUCCUGCAGAUUCAUCCAAACCCAACAAGUGGGGCCAAUUUGGGGAGCCAAAGGCUGGUUCUCAGUAGAUAGUUGAUGCAACUUGGUGCACAGCAUGAGCAAAAAGUAUGAUCAUGAUCAAAAAGUAUUAUUAUUUCACAAAAGAAUAUUGUCCUUCUGCCAAGGUCAGUUGUCUUCGGGGAAUUUAUACAUAUAGUCCCAAAUAUCCAUUGUGUGCUUGUCUACUAAAAAGCUUUCUAUCUCCAACUGAUGUUCAGAGAAAAAGGAAAAAUUAGGUUAGUUUUUUAAAAAAAAAGGGAAUAGGAUUGGACAAUAAUCAAUUUUAUUAAUGAUUGAAUUGGUUGUUGUGGCAUGUUUGUUUUCUUUUCUUUACCAGAAUGAAAUUUGGCUUGGACUUUGAGAAAUGAAGAGUGAAAGUUCAUUAUAUUUAGCCAAAACCCAGCCCAGGGUGUGAGGCAGCCCUUAAUGUAAUUCUUGAUCAGCGGGUAUGUAAUUAUCACCAAUACUUCUUGAAAUGUGUUCUUUUCCAUUGUGGAAGAGCAUAACUUAGAUAUGAAGCCUGCUUUGCUUAAGAACAUUGAUAAAAUCACAUUUGCUGAAUGGAAUGAGAGAGGCUGCUCUUGAAGAUAAAUGAUAAUCUGGACAAUAGAGAGUCUGUAGAUCUAAUUUUCUGGACUUCAGUAAACUAUUUGAUAAACUACCCCUUGGGAAAUGGUUAGUUAACCUGGAGAAUAUUGGGAUUAGUAGAAGAAAUGAAGGAUGAGCAAGGAAGGGACAACAGCAUGGAAAUUUUCAUGGUAGGGAGUCACUGGUGGUGUAUUUGUUAAUUUAGUCAAGGUGUUUGUUUAUUUUGAACUUUUGGUAGUGAUUUUUUUUCUGGGGUGGUGGUAGGGGAAAAGGGCUUGAUAAUGAGAUUUUUAGAUGAGGCACACCUGAGAAAACAUCAUGAGCAUCAAAUUGCAGGCAGGUGAUAUGAAUAAGAUGAUGAUGAACUGCAACAGAAAAGUUUGAGACCUGAAUAACACAAGUGGCUUUCAAGAUGUAUAUGAAGGGCUUGUGUUCUGCAGAUGAAAACAGUGGAGAAAGACCAUGUACAUUAUCUGACCCCAAGGGGAUUCCAAAAUACAGAACUGAGGCAAUGAAAUAUUGGGCUGGAUGAGAAGAAGGUUAAUAUUGUACAGGGUAUUAUAUUGGUUAUUGCAUUUACGUGUGGGUCAGCUAUUUGAGCAGGAGGGGAGAAAUAGCAGUGCAAUCAAAUCUAUGAAUGAAGGCUUCCAUCAUCCUCCAGAGGCCAGCAGCACUGAAUGGGAACUGACUCCCACACCGGCCUGAACUUAUCCACAGCAAGAGGGCAGCUGGCUUCCAUGGGCCUGGGACAAGUGUGGAGCCUAGGAAAACUGUAUUGACCACUGCUGCCCCAAUCACAGAGGAAACUGCUAGGAAGAACAAUUGGACAUAAGGGAAAAGUGUUGGUCCUCAAAGAGAAAACUUGAUUCUGGAAAAAAAAACCCUUUUACUACAGGGAGUGCACUUGCUUUUUGUGGAGUUUGAGCCUUGUUGGAGUUGUUCCAGACCAGGUUUGUGUGCAUGAAGAGAAGGGAAGUAUGAGGAGUUCGGGCUGUACAGACACCAGCCUGACUCUGUCAUCUCAGAAGUCAAGAGAGCUAAAGAGGAACCUUUUCCCUGAUGGGGACCAAGUUAAUUAAGAGAAAUGAAAAGAGUAAAUCUGUUCUAUGGAUUUUUCCAGUGGUUCAGUGGAGGCUGGUUUCACUAGAAGCUGGUUACAAUUUAAUGUGUUACCACAAAGCAUGGACAAUGCUGUAUAGAGAUUUUUUUUACAUAUAAACUAAAAGAGCAAAAUUUGAUAUUUUAUGGCUUUCUCCAAAGCUGAUGUAAAAUCAGGAACAUCUCUACUGAAGGCAAGUCAGUUAUGCUGUGUCAAAGAAGUGAAGGU